GUCUAUGGCCAUGCCACCCUGAACGUGCCCGAUCUCAUCUGAUCUUCAGAAGCUAAGCAGGGUUGGACCUGGUUGGUACUUGGAUGAAAGACCAUCUAGGAAUACCAAGUGCUGUAGGCA
rnacentral:rRNA from 1 species